UAGGGAAUCUUCGGCAAUGGGGGCAACCCUGACCGAGCAACGCCGCGUGAGUGAAGAAGGUUUUCGGAUCGUAAAGCUCUGUUGUAAGAGAAGAACGAGUGUGAGAGUGGAAAGUUCACACUGUGACGGUAACUUACCAGAAAGGGACGGCUAACUAUGUGCCAGCAGCCGCGGUAAUACGUAGGUCCCGAGCGUUAUCCGGAUUUAUUGGGCGUAAAGCGAGCGCAGGCGGUUAGAUAAGUCUGAAGUUAAAGGCUGUGGCUUAACCAUAGUACGCUUUGGAAACUGUUUAACUUGAGUGCAGAAGGGGAGAGUGGAAUUCCAUGUGUAGCGGUGAAAUGCGUAGAUAUAUGGAGGAACACCGGUGGCGAAAGCGGCUCUCUGGUCUGUAACUGACGCUGAGGCUCGAAAGCGUGGGGAGCAAACAGGAUUAGAUACCCUGGUAGUCCACGCCGUAAACGAUGAGUGCUAGGUGUUGGGUCCUUUCCGGGACUCAGUGCCGCAGCUAACGCAUUAAGCACUCCGCCUGGGGAGUACGACCGCAAGGUUG
rnacentral:rRNA from 1 species